UACGGAGGGUGCGAGCGUUGUCCGGAAUCAUUGGGCGUAAAGCGUGUGCAGGUGGUUCGGUAAGUUGGAUGUGAAAGCCUUGGGCUUAACCCAAGAAGUGCAUUCAAAACUACCAAACUUGAGUAGGGAAGAGGGUCGUGGAAUUCCAGGUGUAGUGGUGAAAUACGUAGAUAUCAGGAAGAACACCCGUGGCGAAAGCGGCUCUCUGGGACGGUACUGACGCUGAGACGCGAAAGCGUGGGGAGCGAACAGG
rnacentral:rRNA from 1 species